GGGCUUAACACAUGCAAGUCGAGGGGCAGCAUGGUCUUUUCUUGCUAAGGCCGAUGGCGACCGGCGCACGGGUGAGUAACACGUAUCCAACCUGCCGUCUACUCUUGGACAGCCUUCUGAAAGGAAGAUUAAUACAAGAUGGCAUCAUGAGUCCGCAUGUUCACAUGAUUAAAGGUAUUCCGGUAGACGAUGGGGAUGCGUUCCAUUAGAUAGUAGGCGGGGUAACGGCCCACCUAGUCUUCGAUGGAUAGGGGUUCUGAGAGGAAGGUCCCCCACAUUGGAACUGAGACACGGUCCAAACUCCUACGGGAGGCAGCAGUGAGGAAUAUUGGUCAAUGGGCGAGAGCCUGAACCAGCCAAGUAGCGUGAAGGAUGACUGCCCUAUGGGUUGUAAACUUCUUUUAUAAAGGAAUAAAGUCGGGUAUGGAUACCCGUUUGCAUGUACUUUAUGAAUAAGGAUCGGCUAACUCCGUGCCAGCAGCCGCGGUAAUACGGAGGAUCCGAGCGUUAUCCGGAUUUAUUGGGUUUAAAGGGAGCGUAGAUGGAUGUUUAAGUCAGUUGUGAAAGUUUGCGGCUCAACCGUAAAAUUGCAGUUGAUACUGGAUAUCUUGAGUGCAGUUGAGGCAGGCGGAAUUCGUGGUGUAGCGGUGAAAUGCUUAGAUAUCACGAAGAACUCCGAUUGCGAAGGCAGCCUGCUAAGCUGCAACUGACAUUGAGGCUCGAAAGUGUGGGUAUCAAACAGGAUUAGAUACCCUGGUAGUCCACACGGUAAACGAUGAAUACUCGCUGUUUGUGAUAUACAGCAAGCGGCCAAGCGAAAGCGUUAAGUAUUCCACCUGGGGAGUACGCCGGCAACGGUGAAACUCAAAGGAAUUGACGGGGGCCCGCACAAGCGGAGGAACAUGUGGUUUAAUUCGAUGAUACGCGAGGAACCUUACCCGGGCUUAAAUUGCAGAUGAAUUACGGUGAAAGCCGUAAGCCGCAAGGCAUCUGUGAAGGUGCUGCAUGGUUGUCGUCAGCUCGUGCCGUGAGGUGUCGGCUUAAGUGCCAUAACGAGCGCAACCCUUGUUGUCAGUUACUAACAGGUUCCGCUGAGGACUCUGACAAGACUGCCAUCGUAAGAUGUGAGGAAGGUGGGGAUGACGUCAAAUCAGCACGGCCCUUACGUCCGGGGCUACACACGUGUUACAAUGGGGGGUACAGAGGGCCGCUACCACGCGAGUGGAUGCCAAUCCCCAAAACCUCUCUCAGUUCGGACUGGAGUCUGCAACCCGACUCCACGAAGCUGGAUUCGCUAGUAAUCGCGCAUCAGCCACGGCGCGGUGAAUACGUUCCCGGGCCUUGUACACACCGCCCGUCAAGCCAUGGGAGCCGGGGGUACCUGAAGUGCGUAACCGCGAGGAGCGCCCUAGGGUAAAACUGGUGACUG
rnacentral:rRNA from 1 species